rnacentral:rRNA from 1 species
UACGUAGGGUGCAGGCGUUUAAUCGGAAUUACUGGGCGUAAAGCGCCGCGUAGGCGGCUUUGUAAGUUUAGAGGUGAAAGCCCGAAGCUCAACUUCGGAAUUGCCUUUAAGACUGCAUCGCUAGAAUCAUGGAGAGGUUAGUGGAAUUCCGAGUGUAGAGGUGAAAUUCGUAGAUAUUCGGAAGAACACCAGUGGCGAAGGCGACUAACUGGACAUGUAUUGACGCGUGAGGUGCGAAAGCGUGGGAGCA